rnacentral:lncRNA from 10 species
UCUCUUCACAUGGACGCACAUGAAAUUUGGUGCCGUGACUCAGAUCAGGGGACCUCCCUUGGGAGAUAAAUCCCCUGUCCUCCUGCUCUUUGCUCUGUGAGAAAGAUCCACCUACGACCUCAGGUCCUCAGACCGACCAGCCCAAGAAACAUCUCACCAAUUUCAAAUCUGAAGUGGUUACCUGGAAGGAAAGGAGCUGCAGAACUUGAUCCAGGAGCUCCAGCAGGCGCGAAAGAAGGCUGGAUUGAGUUAUCACCUGAAAUGAAAACUUUUGUGGAUCAGUAUGGGCAAAGAGAUGAUGGAAAAAUAGGAAUUGUAGAGGUA